rnacentral:rRNA from 1 species
ACUCCUACGGGAGGCAGCAGUGGGGAAUAUUGCACAAUGGGCGCAAGCCUGAUGCAGCAACGCCGCGUGAGGGACGACGGCCUUCGGGUUGUAAACCUCUUUUAGUAGGGAAGAAGCGAAAGUGACGGUACCUGCAGAAAAAGCACCGGCUAACUACGUGCCAGCAGCCGCGGUAAUACGUAGGGUGCAAGCGUUAUCCGGAAUUAUUGGGCGUAAAGAGCUCGUAGGCGGUUUGUCGCGUCUGCUGUGAAAACUGGAGGCUCAACCUCCAGCCUGCAGUGGGUACGGGCAGACUAGAGUGCGGUAGGGGAGAUUGGAAUUCCUGGUGUAGCGGUGGAAUGCGCAGAUAUCAGGAGGAACACCAAUGGCGAAGGCAGAUCUCUGGGCCGUAACUGACGCUGAGGAGCGAAAGCAUGGGGAGCGAACAGGAUUAGAUACCCUGGUAGUCCAUGCCGUAAACGUUGGGAACUAGAUGUAGGGACCAUUCCACGGUUUCUGUGUCGCAGCUAACGCAUUAAGUUCCCCGCCUGGGGAGUACGGCCGCAAGGCUAAAACUCAAAGGAAUUGACGGGGGCCCGCACAAGCGGCGGAGCAUGCGGAUUAAUUCGAUGCAACGCGAAGAACCUUACCAAGGCUUGACAUAUACCGGAAAUGGCUGGAAACAGUCCCCCCGCAAGGUCGGUAUACAGGUGGUGCAUGGUUGUCGUCAGCUCGUGUCGUGAGAUGUUGGGUUAAGUCCCGCAACGAGCGCAACCCUCGUUCUAUGUUGCCAGCACGUAAUGGUGGGAACUCAUAGGAGACUGCCGGGGUCAACUCGGA